CACCCAGGCGCCCCUGAUUUCAUUGUUUUCUUGAUGACACCCUUCCUCCUGCUCUCUUGCAUCUCAUCGCCCUCCAGGCCUGCCACACAGCUCUCAAGCUUAUCAUCUUUGCCCUGGGGACUCCAGUCAUCUCUCCUGCAUUGGAUUUCCUAUUUCCUGGAUCCUCUUUCAUGGUUUACACUCUCAUUUAGCUGAGUCUGGCUGAGAGGCAGAGAUUCGGCUCUGGGGCUGCCUGCCGAGUGACCAGUCCUCCCGGGUCCUUCAACAAGCCACCUUGCCUCUGCUUCACUGGUUUUCCAAUUAUAAGAUAAGAAGACUAAUACUUCUCUGUGUAUGUGUGAGAGCAUCACAUUUGUAAUAAAGUCCACGUCUUCCAUCAUUUAUACCUCUGCCUUCCACCCCAAACAUAAGAAAAUGUAUGCUGUAGAAAAAAGCAGUAAGCCUACCUUGGUUAAACUUGAACUUAGUUUGAACUGAAAUCUGAAAGAUUAUUUUAGUCAGCAUCAAGUUUUAAGCCUUGGAAAUCAUCUUAGACGCUAAUGGUAAAAUUUUCGCACUCAAAGCAUUGUUUCAUCCGUUGGUGCCAAAAUUCUCCUCGUGAAAGUUACCGCAUUUAAGGAACUUGUGUGGACCUAGAAUGGACAUGUGAUUUGUCUUGUCAAUUAACGAAAAACAAUUUCUUCUUCAAAAAAGCAUUUUUAACUUAGCUGUUGGUUUUUCAUUACAAAAUGCUUCCUAAAUCUUAAACGACAUGUCCUGUUGAAAAUUACUUGUGACUAUUUUCUUGAAAUUAUUCUUUCACAAUUUACGGAAUAAUAUAUGGGCAAUGUAUAUGUGACCGUGUGCAUAUACACCUGUAUAACAUAUUUUAAAGUGAGAAGAUUUUAAGAGAUUACAGAAUAGAAAGAAUGCGACAUUCAAACAUGGAUACCUUAAAUGACAAUUUAACCCACCAAUACAUGGACCAUGGUGUAGUAAUUUUAGUGCAAAGAGACAUGUAUUUUGUGUUGUGUGGGCCACCUCUUGAAUGAGACUGACUCUGCAGAAGGCCAAGGACUACAGGAGCCUCGGUGUAGCAGAAAUGAAAAUAAAGGCACUACGUAUCUUC